GACGAACGCUGGCGGCGUGCUUAACACAUGCAAGUCGAACGGAAAGGCCCUGCUUUUGUGGGGUGCUCGAGUGGCGAACGGGUGAGUAACAGGUGAGUAACCUGCCCUUGACUUUGGGAUAACUUCAGGAAACUGGGGCUAAUACCGGAUAGGAGCUCCUGCUGCAUGGUGGGGGUUGGAAAGUUUCGGCGGUUGGGGAUGGACUCGCGGCUUAUCAGCUUGUUGGUGGGGUAGUGGCUUACCAAGGCUUUGACGGGUAGCCGGCAUGAGAGGGUGACCGGCCACAUUGGGACUGAGAUACGGCCCAGACUCCUACGGGAGGCAGCAGUGGGGAAUAUUGCACAAUGGGCGGACGCCUGAUGCAGCAACGCCGCGUGCGGGAUGACGGCCUUCGGGGUGUAAACCGCUUUCGCCUGUGACGAAGCGUGAGUGACGGUAAUGGGUAAAGAAGCACCGGCUAACUACGUG
rnacentral:rRNA from 1 species